rnacentral:rRNA from 1 species
GAUGAACGCUAGCGGUAGGCUUAACACAUGCAAGUCGAGGGACAGGUGGAUGGGUGAGUAACGCGAAUGCAACUUGCCUCUUAGUGGGGGAUAACACGGAGAAAUCCGGACUAAUACCGCAUACUAAGCGAUAGGCAUGCGUUCAAUGAGUUAGUUGGUGAGGUAACGGCUCACCAAGGCAUCGAUGGAUAGGGGAGCUGAAAGUCUGAUCCCUGACAUUGGAACGGAGACACGGCCCAAACUCCUACGGGAGGCAGCAGUGAGGAAUAUUGGUCAAUGGAGUAAACUCUGAACCAGCCACGUCGCGUGAAGGAUGACGGUCUAUGGAUGUUAAACUUCUUUAGUAGGCGAUUCAGUAGCCUAGGAAUAAGUAUCGGCUAACUCCGUGCCAGCAGCCGCGGUAAUUC